rnacentral:rRNA from 1 species
AUACAGGUCAUGAUAAAUGUCUUGUAAUUGGAAUGAGAACGAUUUAAACCCCCUAUCGAGUAGCAAUUGGAGGGCAAGUCUGGUGCCAGCAGCCGCGGUAAUUCCAGCUCCAAUAGCGUAUAUUAAAGUUGUUGCAGUUGAAAAGCUCGUAGUUGGAUUUUGGGCGCGCGUGCGUCGGCCCAUCGUGAUGAUGUGUGCUGUCGUGCCGUGUCUUUCCUUCGCAUUGCGGCCCGGCGGCAUUAAUUUGUUGUCGGAAUUCGUAUGCGAUCGUUUACUUUGAAAAAAUUAGAGUGUUCAAAGCAGGCUAUUUCGGCCGUUGAAUAUUAUAGCAUGGGAUAAUAGAAUAGGACUUGUUUCUUAUUUUGUUGGUUUUCAAGAAAUAAGUAAUGAUUAACAGGAACAGUUGGGGAUAUUAGUAUUUAUUUGUCAGAGGUGAAAUUCUGGGAUUCUAUAAAGACUAACUUCUGCGAAAGCAUUUAUCAAGGAUGUUUUCAUUAAUCAAGAACGAAAGUUAGGGGAUCGAAGAUGAUCAGAUACCGUCGUAGUCUUAACUAUAAACUAUGCCGGCCAAGGAUUCGGAGACGUUGUAUGGAUGACUCCCCGAGCACUUUAAGAGAAAUCAUAAGCUUUUGGGUUCUGGGGGGAGUAUGGUCGCAAGACUGAAACUUAAAGGAAUUGACGGAAGGGCACCACCAGGAGUGGAGCUUGCGGCUUAAUUUGACCCAACACGGGAAACCUUCCAGGUCCAGACAUAGUUAGGAUUGACAGAUUGAGAGCUCUUUCUUGAUUCUAUGGGUGGUGGUGCAUGGCCGUUCUUAGUUGGUGGAGUGAUCUGUCUGGUUGAUUCCGUUAACGAACGAGACCUUAACCUAUUAAAUAGUCAUGCGAACCUUCUGUAUGGUGCGAAGUGGUGGUUAGGCGCUGACCUCCGGGAAGGCGUCGCCGCCGUGGACCACUUGAUGAGUUCGUAGAUGUACUUCUUAGAGGGACUAUUCGUUUCCAGCGAAUGGAAGUUUGAGGCAAUAACAGGUCUGUAAUGCCCUUAGAUGUCCUGGGCUGCACGCGUGCUACAAUGACAAGUUCAACGAGUUUAACACCUUGGCCGGAAGGUCUGGGUAAUCUUUUGAAAUCUUGUCGUGAUGGGGAUAGAUCAUUGCAAUUAUUGAUCUUCAACGAGGAAUUCCUAGUAAGCGCAAGUCAUCAGCUUGCGUUGAUUACGUCCCUGCCCUUUGUACACACCGCCCGUCGCUCCUACCGAUUGAGUGGUCCGGUGAGAGCUUGGGAUGAAUGGCCGCGGUGCGGGGCAACUCGCGCUUGGCUCGUUCAAAACUUGUUCAAACCUUAUCAUUUAGAGGAAGGAGAAGUCGUAACAAGGU